GACAGAGGAUGCAAGCGUUAUCCGGCAUGAUUGGGCGUAAAGCGUCUGUAGGUGGUUUAUUAAGUCUACUGUUAAAGAUCAGGGCUUAACCCUGAGCAGGCAAUAGAAACUAAUAAGCUAGAGUACGGUAGGGGCAGAGGGAAUUCCCGGUGUAGCGGUGAAAUGCGUAGAGAUCGGGAAGAACACCAACGGCGAAAGCACUCUGCUGGGCCGAAACUGACACUGAGAGACGAAAGCUAGGGGAGCAAAUGGG
rnacentral:rRNA from 1 species